rnacentral:rRNA from 1 species
GGUACCGGUGAGGAAGCACCGGCUAACUCCGUGCCAGCAGCCGCGGUAAUACGGAGGGUGCGAGCGUUGUCCGGAAUCACUGGGCGUAAAGGGCGCGUAGGUGGUCUGCUAAGCGUGCGGUGAAAGCCCCGGGGCUCAACCCCGGGUCUGCCGUGCGAACUGGUGGACUAGAGCACUGUAGAGGCAGGUGGAAUUCCGGGUGUAGCGGUGGAAUGCGUAGAGAUCCGGAAGAACACCGGUGGCGAAGGCGGCCUGCUGGGCAGUUGCUGACACUGAGGCGCGACAGCGUGGGGAGCAAACAGGAUUAGAUACCCUGGUAGUCCACGCCGUAAACGAUGGGGACUAGGUGCUUGGGGGAGCGACCCCCGAGUGCCGGCGCUAACGCAUUAAGUCCCCCGCCUGGGGAGUACGGCCGCAAGGCUGAAACUCAAAGGAAUUGACGGGG